GAUGAACGCUGGCGGCGUGCCUAAUACAUGCAAGUCGAGCGAACAGACGAGGAGCUUGCUCCUCUGACGUUAGCGGCGGACGGGUGAGUAACACGUGGAUAACCUACCUAUAAGACUGGGAUAACUUCGGGAAGCCGGAGCUAAUACCGGAUAAUAUAUUGAACCGCAUGGUUCAAUAGUGAAAGACGGUUUUGCUGUCACUUAUAGAUGGAUCCGCGCCGCAUUAGCUAGUUGGUAAGGUAACGGCUUACCAAGGCGACGAUGCGUAGCCGACCUGAGAGGGGGACGGCCCACCCUGGACCUGGGACCCGGUCCAGCCCCCUACGGGAGGCAGCGGUGGGGAAUCUUCCGCAAUGGGCGAAACCCUGACGGAGCAACGCCGCGUGAGUGAUGAAGGUUUUCGGUUCGUAAACCUCUUUUUUUAGGGAAGAAAAAAUGUGUAAGUAACUAUGCCCGUCUGGACGGUACCUAACCAAAAAGCCACGGCUAACUACGU
rnacentral:rRNA from 1 species